rnacentral:lncRNA from 1 species
CGCCGAGACGCCCUGCGCCUUCGCCUUCUCCGCCCCCGGGCCGGGGCCCGCGCCGCCGCCCCCGCUGCCCGCCUUCCCCGAGGCGCCCGGCUCCGAGCCCGCCUGCUGUCCGCUGGCCUUCAGGGUGGACCCGUUCACCGACUACGGCUCCUCGCUCACCGUCACGCUGCCGCCCGAGCUGCAGGCGCACCAGCCCUUCCAGAUCUGGUGGCUGGACCCAGAGCUGACCUAUGGCUGCGCCAAGCCCUUCGUCUUCACCCAGGGCCACUCCGUGUGCAACCGCUCCUUCUUCCCGUGCUUCGACACACCUGCCGUGAAG